UGCUUUUCUCUAUUUCACAGAUUGUACUCAAGACCAAAUUACAAAUGUUAAGAAGAUGCCAGGGGGAGACAGUAAACACGUUUGUGCACAAUUUAAUCCCUGAUAGGAAAAAAAGUUACCAUCUACAGAUGGUGGAUCAGUAUUAUCCCAAUAAAAAAAGGUUUGGUAAAGCAAAGUGAUGACUUUCAGGACACUUUUGAAUCUCUUAACUCUACUUAAGACUUUGAGGUGGAUGAAAAGAAGUAUGUCACAAACUGCUAAACAAAUCAACAGAUGACAGUGUUUGCUGCGAAGUUAAUAAUCAGCUGGUACGUUUCAUGGACAUGAGGCACAGGGAGUAUGGUGCCAGCAAGGUCACCACGACUAAAAAAGAACAGGGCAACAUUCCAGGUCACCGCAAGUCACAGAGCUCAAGUAGAAACUUUGCAAAUGGCUUUACCAUGGUAAUGUAUCUGAUAAUUAUUUUCCUGAGAAUCUCUUUCAGUUCAGAAGACUACACUGAUCUAUGCUUACAAAUCUAAUUAUUCUUCCCACUCACAAGAAUAGGCUACUCAUGCUGUUUCGAUUAUCACUUUCAGGUCAUGGACAUGAAAAUAGGAUAUAAGUAACACCAGUGCCAUUUAUCAAAUGAUGUCCUGGAAGAAUUAGUUUUUCUUAAAAAAGUGAAUACUUCACUUACAAAGUUCACUGUCCUCAUUUUAUUUACCCCUGAAAAAUACCACUUGCUGAAGGACAUGAAGUUUGUAAAAUUUCUGACAUUUUUUAUUAGUAAUUAUUGCAUGAGUCAUGGAUUUUAUGGAAAUCUGCCUAUAGUUGUAGCAGAAUAGCAAAGUUAUCUAUCUGAAAAGGACUAAGUUUUCAUAUUUAGAAUCUUACUAUUUUUACUAAGGGAUAAGUAUAUUACUCACCAAAAUAGAAAAUAGAAUAUUCAUAUGAAAGUAUGAGGAGAUAGUGCAUUAUCAGAGGAUUUAAGAAAUACUGUCUUAUUCAACUUCAUUAUUUUAAAAGAAGAAGAAAAAGAGUGUAUUUCAAGAGGAAGAAUUGGGUGCUAACAUGGAGGCAGUGGUGAAUUUAGGGCUGAUCCCUCAUGAAUUGUCAGUGCAAGAAGUUGCAAACUUAUAAAACUCCAUGAUUUUAUAUAGAAACCUGAAGACUGCAUUCCUAAAAUGUAACAAAUGAAAAACUAUUUACAAAACAUGAUCAUCUCUAAUUUUGGGCAAACUGAACCCUGGAAAAUUGGCUCAACUUAAGAUAUUUUACUACCUACAAACAAAUUUCAGAACAUGAAUAUUUCCAUUGAAACAAUAUGGAUUCUCAUUUCUCCUGAAUAUUCACCAUGUAUUUGGGGUGUUAAUACUCCAAAGUGUGUAAGGAUUAUAGAGCAACUUGAUUCCAUGUAAAUAUUUCCUAGAAACAGAUCUAGUGCUACCAUGUACAAGUAGACUUUAAAAAGAAUUUAUGAAUAAUAAAUAGUAAGUUCCUAUAUCAGAUAUUAGAAAAAUGGAGAAUUUUUAUGUAACAUUGCAUCAGACAUUUUCAACGGAUACCUGUUAAUAUUACUGUGAUGGUCAAGCAGGUGGACUUUGGAAUUCAAUGGUAAGAGACUGAGUGAGUCCUAGAUUGGACUUGCCUGAUUUGGAGUGAAAUGGCAUUUCUAUAUAAACCAUGACAUGUAUUUGAAUUUUACUAAGCAGAGAGGGAUGAAUAAUAAGCUAAUCUUAUAUUCAUUAAAAUAUGCCACUCAACUCUAUGAAAAACUGUUUCCAAGUAAAACAAAACUAUGUACAUAUCAGAAGAUCAGGUGACUUAUCACCUUAAAAAGUGAUCUUAGUUUCAAUGUUCAAUCUAAAAAGAUAAUUUAUAUGAACUUACCCAAUUUGUUUAGAAGUAUUAGAUAUAUUGAACAUGCAUGACUAUGACUAUGUUAGUAAAUUAAGAUGAGCAAUAGAUACUAUUUUGAAUAAAACAAUCCUUAGAGAGACAAACAUCUGUAUACAGUCUGUAAGUAAUCUGGAACUGGGAGUUACAAUGAAACUCAAUUAUCUUCAUUUAUUAAUUUAAUUCUAAUUAUGAAUAACAAUAAUCCAUACAUGGAAUUGUACAGUAGGAAUGUGUUUAUUGUCAUGUGCUGAGUCAAGAUCAUAGCUCUGUAUUCUACUCCACUUGAAAUAUAAAUUUUUGUUGAAUUGAUUGAAAAUUGUCCUCUUAGUAUUAAAUGAAUUGGAUGAUAUUUCAUAACAAUUCUUAGUCUUCCCUCUCUUAUGAAUCAUAGGCAGCUAUAAUAUCCUGUGAAAAAUGCCUUUUCCUUUGUUUAGCAUUUCCACAGUUAACUAGAGCUGGACUAUUUUGAGGGCCAGAUGGGCAAUCCGCCAGUCAAACAUGAAUUGUAGCUAUUGAAAUAACACAUUGUAACUUUUUUCUUUGAAAUUUAUGUCUACUAAUUCAAACCAUUUUAACAAUACCGGUGAGCAUAGGUGCUUUUCAGGGAAUUGAGAUUCUAAGGAUUCAUAGCAAAUGAUCAUUGACCAUCUUUUCAUAUGGUCCUUUAUUGUGGGGCCUUUGCCCCUGGGAGGACUAAGGCACAAGUAACUCAGCCAUAACAGCAAAUUAAGAAUCCAGCUCAGGAACAGAUUAUACCUCCUCUUCCAUCCAGAAAGAAGGUUGAACCUAUUGCCUUCUUGAAAUUGCAUCAACAGUCUGGUAAUGAGCAUCAUAUUGCAUACAUUUUCAUUGGACACUGUACCUACAAGGUUCUUUAUUUAUAACUGUUUUUAUUGUGAUAUGCGGUCAUGACAUAAAAUAACCCAAAGAAAUUUUAAAAAUUGAAUAAUGAAUCUUAAUUCUAAGGCAACUGUUAUUUUUUUUCUCACUAGGUAAAUGCUUAUCAGAAUACUGAAGGGAAAAUAAUAAGCAAUAUUGCCAUCCAAUGGUGAAAUUGUAACAUUUAAAGUAUAUAAAAAAAUAAAGAUAGGAAUAGAGGGAAAGUAUUUCAAAAUUAGUAAAAACAUCUUUCUUUGCCUGCAUUCUCUGGGAACUAUAAAGGAAAUAUUUGGUUGUUAUUAAUAUAAUGAGCAGUAAUCUAGGUAAGAAAAAUUCAUGAAGGGUGCGUUAUCACCUCUUUCCAUCACAAGAGAAGCUUUAAUUCAUAUUAUUUAAUUAUUAAAGGAGGAAAAAGGAGCUUGCAAAACUUGACAUCAUUUUUUGAAUUCUUUUUUUUACAAUAUGCUUAGCAAAUAUUUUCCUUUCACAGUCAAUUAAGGUUCUACCUGAAUCCCAUCCCCUCAUAAAAGAUUUCAGGACUAGUUUUUCUCUCUCCCAAGCCCUGGACACUGUACCUACAUGGUUCUUUAUUUGUAACUGUUUGAUUUACCUUAGAAUCAUUGACAUUCACUGGUACACCUCUUCAAAUAGGAAAAGAGGAAUUAUUUUCUUUUUUCAUUUGUAGCAUUUAUAAUUAUCAGCAUCUAACAGGCCAACAAUAAGUAAUUGUCGAAUAUGGAAGAACUGCCUUUUACUGUAACUGGCUAUGGCUGCAUUAAGCUGCAUGUUCAUACUGAAAUGACUGCAUCUCAUAGCAAAGUGGAUCUUACUUCACUUAUGAAAGUCAAAGAAUCACCUCAGAAUUCCUAACAUGUGGACAUCUUUGUUAUGUUUAAUGACAGAGGAUUAUGUAGUAAAUAUGAAUGGUUAUAAUUAAUAAAUAAUAAAGUGUUUGU